AGUGGCGGACGGGUGAGUAAUGUCUGGGAAACUGCCUGAUGGAGGGGGAUAACUACUGGAAACGGUAGCUAAUACCGCAUACCAUCGGAUGUGCCCAGAUGGGAUUAGCUAGUAGGUGGGGUAAAGGCUCACCUAGGCGACGAUCCCUAGCUGGUCUGAGAGGAUGACCAGCCACACUGGAACUGAGACACGGUCCAGACUCCUACGGGAGGCAGCAGUGGGGAAUAUUGCACAAUGGGCGCAAGCCUGAUGCAGCCAUGCCGCGUGUAUGAAGAAGGCCUUCGGGUUGUAAAGUACUUUCAGCGGGGAGGCGUUACCCGCAGAAGAAGCACCGGCUAACUCCGUGCCAGCAGCCGCGGUAAUACGGAGGGUGCAAGCGUUAAUCGGAAUUACUGGGCGUAAAGCGCACGCAGGCGGUUUGUUAAGUCAGAUGUGAAAUCCCCGGGCUCAACCUGGGAACUGCAUCUGAUACUGGCAAGCUUGAGUCUCGUAGAGGGGGGUAGAAUUCC
rnacentral:rRNA from 1 species